rnacentral:lncRNA from 1 species
UUCGGCAUAUCAAAGAACCCCAAUUAUUCAAUUUUUGAUGAAAUCAAACAAAGUUUAAUUUUGGACCCUUUCGGCCCUUUAUUCCUAAACUGUUGGGACCGAAACUCCCAAAAUCAAUACCAACCUUCCUUUUGUGGUCAUAAACAUUGUGUUUAAAUUUCAUUGAUUUCUAUUUACUUAAACUUAAGUUAUGGUGCGAAAACCAAGAAUAAUGCUUAUUUGGGCCCUUUUUUGGCCCCUAAUUCCUAAACUGUUGGAACCAAAACUCCCAAAAUCAAUCCAACCUUCCUUUUGUGGUCAUAAACCUUGUGUCAAAAUUUCAUAGAUU